rnacentral:rRNA from 1 species
UACGUAGGGUGCGAGCGUUAAUCGGAAUUACUGGGCGUAAAGCGUGCGCAGGCGGUUCGUUGUGUCGGUGGUGAAAGCCCCGGGCUCAACCUGGGAACUGCAUUUGUGACUGCACGGCUGGAGUGCGGCAGAGGGGGAUGGAAUUCCGCGUGUAGCAGUGAAAUGCGUAGAGAUGUGGAGGAACACCGGUGGCGAAGGCGGUUCUCUGGGCAUUACCUGACGCUGAGGAGCGAAAGUGUGGGGAGCAAACAGG